rnacentral:rRNA from 1 species
GGUUGCGAUCAUACCAGCACUAAUGCACCGGAUCCCAUGCAGUUAAGCGUGCUUGGGCGAGAGUAGUACUAGGAUGGGUGACCCCCUGGGAAGUCCUCGUGUUGCAACCCC